rnacentral:siRNA from 1 species
GCACAAGCCCGACGUAUUGCCUG